rnacentral:lncRNA from 1 species
CAGUAAAGUAUCAAUGUCACCAAGCUGGCAGCCUGUGCUUGUCGGAUAUGGUUUUUGUUCUGCAGAUGGCACAGAAGGAAUGGCUAGAGAUUACUGCCCAUUUCCCAAAAGUCUCUGAGGAGCUGUUGAGCACCUCCAUAAUAAAAAAGCUUUGUUUUGCAGUGACUUACAUUCAUUCAUUUAUUCAUUCAUUUGAACAAGGGACAAACUAUUUUCUUCACAAUUUUAUUGAAGUGUAAUUGAACUACAGCAAACCACACAGAGUUGAUCGUUUUUAUUUGUGAAUCCUGUAUUUGUAAAUUCACCUACUUAAUAACAUCAUGGCACUUUUGUAGUCAUCUGAAGAUGUGCGGAGUGAUGAAAAAUCUGAAAAAAAUUUCUCUUUCAUGUUUCAGCUCUCAAACUGUAAACAAGUACCCUGUUUUGGUUGUCCAUUCAGUGACACGUUGUCCACAUUUUUGUGCUUUUUGUUAGUGAUUUUGCUGUUUAAAAUUGGUCUCUCGAACCUACCACUAAAGUGCUAUCUGAUGUUCCUAAGUGUGGGAAGUCUGUGAUGUGUUUUAUAGAGAAAAUAUGUCAUUUGGAUAAGCUUCCUGCAGGCAUGAGUUCUAGUGCUUUUUCACUGGGAGCUCAAUAUUAAUGAAUCAACAAUAUGUUACACUCAGAAAAGGAAGAAAAAAAUUGCCAAUCUGUAUCUGAGGCUGUUCCAGAAAGUGUUAAAGUAAUAUUUAUAAAUGAAGCCAUGGAAAACAAAGAAAAGUGGUGAAAUUUGUGAAUUAAUGAGAUGAUAGCUUAUUUUUUCAAUUAAAAAAAAAAAGCAUACUGGAUAGCAUUGUUGUAAGACUGAAAAUCCAAGACAUUUGUGGCUGUGUUACACAAGGUCAGGAAAAUGUUAAAACCUCCUUGGCUAGUACUGGCCAGCUUGCAUGUUUCCAAUGGUGAUAUCACAUAAAAAAUGUUAGGCUUCAGUGUGAGGCAGGUUCUGCAGAUCAGAAGACUGCAGAGGAAUUUUGAGAAUACCUGCUAAGUGUUACAGGGAAAACGGUUAUGUAGAAGAGCAGGUUUUCAAUACUGAUGAGACUGACUUACUUUACAAGGUCCUUGGCAAAUGAACAUGUAUAAUGCAAAUGACAUUUCGGUUGAACAAAAUGUGACUAGAGGCUCACAGGAAACUAACCCUGUAUUUCCCAGGAGCAAUAGCUGAAUAUUUUCUGACUCAGUAUUUGUGAUGACUUCAUAGAACAUAACUACUAUGGAUAAAGAGAAUAGACUAUAUGUUUCAAGUAUACAAAUCAAUUUAUACACACACACACACACACACACACACAUAUAUAUGUAUAUAUGGAUGGAUGGAUAUCCAAAAAACUGUCAACACAAGAUAAUGAGCAUUUUCUUUACCACCCAAAAUUUUUUGUGCCUCUUUGAAAUCCAUCCCUCCUUCUACUUCUAUUCCUAAACACCCAUUAAACUGCUUUCUGAACCUAUGAAUUCAUUUGCAUGCUCUAUAAUUUCAUAAAAAUGAAAUAUACUCU